ACUACCCAUCUUCCCCAGUCCCCACCCCCCGCACCACAACCCUCCUCCCACUUCCUCCCGCAGCUGGCGCGCCCCCAACCCCCUCCCACGGUCGGCGCCCACCUAGCUACCUCCCAUGGCCACCGCGCUCCAACCCCUUCCAACCACUGGCGACCCCAGCGGCCAUGGUGGGAGCCGGCCGCCACAGGAAUCCUGCGAGGCCUCCACCACCGGAUCCGGCCUCCAUGGCCAUCGGCGCAACCACAAGCCGACGGAUCCGACUACGAUCGACCACCUCCCGCGCGUGGUGGCCGGAUGGGAGGGCCGACGAGCUCCAUGCCAUGCUGGGCUCCUCCAGUGCCACCACUUCCUUCUUCCCCUUGGGCCGUACUACCUCCCGCUCUGCCUCCCCGCACUUUUCCGGCGAGCCGCCAAUCCUCCACGCGCGUUGCCAGUGCCCCGGCCUUUCUUCCCGCAACGCAUCCCGACCCUUCUGCCCCCGCCCGCCUCACCCCGCCACCUCCCGGCGCACCUCCACCCCCUUGCAGGCCACGGAUCUGUGGCCCUCAAUCCUUCCCCGGGGCGGAUCUAAGUGAGGCCGAGGGGCACCGUCGCAUCUCCUUCCCCUUCCCCCGGCAUCGUCGACCAUCCCCUCGCCUCGAUCUACAGCGACACCGACAACCGGCAGUAGGGUGCGCUGCCCUUCCUCUCCCCUCGAUUUUUUGGGGCGCCGACGACACAACGCGGUAUCCGGCGGUCAGGCUCGGGGGUGGAGGCCGCCGCCGAUCCCCUGCUUGAUCUCUUUCCACCAAGAACCGGCGACCUCCCCUUCGAUCUGGUCCCCCGUUGACAACGCCUCACCCCCUCCUCUCCGCACUCUUCUUCUUGGACGGCUGCGCACAGUCACCAUCUCCAGCGUGUGGUUUCACCAGAAGGAGCCCGGGGAGCGCCUCUCUCUCACCACCGUGACAUUUUCGACACAGGGGCUUGCGUGUAGUUCGCCUGGCGCCGGCAUGAGGUUCACUAGCUCCUGCUUACAGUUUUUUUGAUAGGAAAAGGUGGUAGCUCCUGCUUGGAGUUCGCCAUGGUAGAUGGGUUGAUGCAGCCCACUUGAAGGAGUCUUGUGGUUCACUGCGUUCAACAAAGAAAAAGCAAAAGAGUGUAGUCUUGUGAUGCAACCCACUUGUUUCAUUUUUGUGUGUAUUUUGAAGAUGGGGUGGAGGAAGAUAGUGGUUUUUGUGUGUAUUUUGAAGAUGAGGUGCAGUGCUAUGGGGACUGGACAUGCAGUGCGCUGGCGCCGGCUUGCAUUUCACGGACAAAAAUGUGGAUUUAUUUUUUAAGUCCCUCGUCACUGUAAUUUGUGUGUGUUUGUAUUAUGGAUUAAACAUAUGAUCAUUGCAGUU